UGAGGGUGCAAGCGUUAAUCGGAAUUACUGGGCGUAAAGCGAGUGUAGGCGGCUUCGUAAGUCGGAUGUGAAAGCCCCGGGCUUAACCUGGGAAUUGCAUUCGAUACUGCGCGGCUAGAGUCUGAUAGAGGGAAGUGGAAUUCCAGGUGUAGCGGUGAAAUGCGUAGAUAUCUGGAGGAACAUCAGUGGCGAAGGCGGCUUCCUGGAUCAAGACUGACGCUGAGGCUCGAAAGCGUGGGGAGCAAACAGGAUUAGAUACCCUGGUAGUCCACGCCCCUAAACGAUGUCAACUAGACGUUGGGCUCAUUAAGGAGCUUAGUGUCGAAGCUAACGCGUUAAGUUGACCGCCUGGGAGUACGGCCGCAAGGUUG
rnacentral:rRNA from 1 species